GGGAAAGAAGCUCAAACGGUUAGAGCGUUAGCUUGUCGAGCUAUUUGUUGUAGGUUCAAUUCCUUCCUUUCUCA
rfam:PVC group bacterium (ex Bugula neritina AB1) isolate AB1-3 AB834_contig000060, whole genome shotgun sequence.